rnacentral:rRNA from 1 species
UAGGGAAUCUUCCGCAAUGGACGCAAGUCUGACGGAGCAACGCCGCGUGAUUGAAGAAGGAUUUCGGUUCGUAAAACUCUGUUGUUAGAGAAGAACAGCGCAUAGAGUAACUGUUAUGCGUGUGACGGUAUCUAACCAGAAAGCCACGGCUAACUACGUGCCAGCAGCCGCGGUAAUACGUAGGUGGCAAGCGUUGUCCGGAUUUAUUGGGCGUAAAGCGAGCGCAGGCGGUCAAUUAAGUCGGAUGUGAAAGCCCCCGGCUCAACCGGGGAGAGUCAUUGGAAACUGGUUGACUUGAGUGCAGAAGAGGAGAGUGGAAUUCCAUGUGUAGCGGUGAAAUGCGUAGAUAUAUGGAGGAACACCAGUGGCGAAGGCGACUCUCUGGUCUGUAACUGACGAUGAGGCUCGAAAGCGUGGGUAGCAAACAGG